UCGACAUGCUGGGGAUGAUUUUGUUGAUCAGGAGACCUAUGAAGCGGAGAAGAAACGGAACGACAAACUUCUAAAACGGAUCCAAGGGUAUGA
rnacentral:sRNA from 1 species